rnacentral:rRNA from 1 species
CAGACUCCUACGGGAGGCAGCAGUAGGGAAUUUUCGGCAAUGGACGGAAGUCUGACCGAGCAACGCCGCGUGAAUGAUGAAGUAUUUCGGUAUGUAAAGUUCUUUUAUUUGGGAAGAAAAAAACAAAUUGACGGUACCAAAUGAAUAAGCCCCGGCUAACUACGUGCCAGCAGCCGCGGUAAUACGUAGGGGGCAAGCGUUAUCCGGAAUUAUUGGGCGUAAAGGGUGCGUAGGCGGGUUAUCAAGUCUUUGGUUAAAAUGCGGUGCUCAACGCCGUAGUGCCAAAGAAACUGAUAGUCUAGAGUAUGGUAGAAGUGAGUGGAACUCCAUGUGUAGCGGUAAAAUGCGUAAAUAUAUGGAAGAACACCAGUGGCGAAGGCGGCUCACUAGGCCAAUACUGACGCUGAGGCACGAAAGCGUGGGGAGCAAACAGGAUUAGAUACCCUGGUAGUCCACGCCGUAAACGAUGAGUACUAGGUGUAGCCAGAAGGCUGUGCUGAAGUUAACGCAUUAAGUACUCCGCCUGAGUAGUACGUACGCAAGUAUGAAACUUAAAGGAAUUGACGGGAUCCCGCACAAGCGGUGGAGCAUGUGGUUUAAUUCGAAGCAACGCGAAGAACCUUACCAGGUCUUGACAUACUCGGCAAAUCUAUAGAGAUAUAGAGGAGGUUAACCGGGAUACAGGUGGUGCAUGGUUGUCGUCAGCUCGUGUCGUGAGAUGUUAGGUUAAGUCCUGCAACGAGCGCAACCCUUAUUGCUAGUUACCAUCAUUAAGUUGGGGACUCUAGCGAGACUGCCGGUGAUAAACCGGAGGAAGGCGGGGAUGACGUCAAAUCAUCAUGCCCCUUAUGACCUGGGCUACAAACGUGCUACAAUGGCUGACACAAAGAGAAGCGAGCUCGCGAGAGUAAGCAAACCUCAGAAAAGCAGUCUCAGUUCGGAUUGAAGUCUGCAACUCGACUUCAUGAAGUUGGAAUCGCUAGUAAUCGCGAAGCAGAGUGUCGCGGUGAAUACGUUCCCGGGAUUUGUACACACCGCCCGUCAAACCAUGAGAGUUUGUAAUACCCGAAGCCGGUGGCCGAACCGCAAGGAAGGAGCCGUCUAAGGUAGGACAGAUGAUUGGGGU